UCCGGUCAUAUCACAUUGAAACACCGGUUCCCGUAUGAUUAAUGGAGUUAAGCAACGUCGUGCCUGGUCAAUACCUAGAUGGGUGAACGCUUGGAGGUACCAGGUGCUGUAAG